rnacentral:snRNA from 1 species
AAAUCACUUGAACCCCAGAGAUGGAGGCUGUAGUGAGCAGAGAUCAUGCCACUUCACUCCAGCCUGGGUGACAGAG